AACGAACGCUGGCGGCAUGCCUAACACAUGCAAGUCGAACGAACCCUUCGGGGUUAGUGGCGCACGGGUGCGUAACGCGUGGGAAUCUGCCCUUUGCUUCGGAAUAACUCAGGGAAACUUGUGCUAAUACCGGAUGAUGUCUUCGGACCAAAGAUUUAUCGGCAAGGGAUGAGCCCGCGUAGGAUUAGGUAGUUGGUGGGGUAAAGGCCUACCAAGCCGACGAUCCUUAGCUGGUCUGAGAGGAUGAUCAGCCACACUGGGACUGAGACACGGCCCAGACUCCUACGGGAGGCAGCGGUAGGGAGUAUUGGACAAUGAGCGCAAGCCUGAUCCAGCAAUGCCGCGUGAGUGAUGAAGGCCCUCGGGUCGUAAAGCUCUUUUACCAGGGAUGAUAAUGACAGUACCUGGAGAAUAAGCUCCGGCUAACUCCGUG
rnacentral:rRNA from 1 species